CCCGUGACGCCAUGGGAGCGGGGUGCACCAGAAGUAGGUAGGCUAACCGCAAGGGGGCCGUUUACCACGGUGCGCUUCGUGACUGGGGUGAAGUCGUAACAAGGUAGCCGUAUCGGAAGGUGCGGCUGGAUCACCUCC
rnacentral:rRNA from 1 species